AGACCAAAUGACUAUAUCUGCCCUCACCCAACAACCAAAUUACAAAACUACCCUCUUUUAAUCAUACCAAACCCUAAUCCUGGCCAUGAUCUGAAGGUUUCUUUCUUUAUACAAUCAUCGCCUCUCUUUGGUCUCCCUCUUCAAUCACCGCCACAACACAACAACUGGUCGGGUCAUCGUCGUCUCCUUAACCAAGCCGUAGAGAGAAGACGGUGGUUUUGCGGUGGUGCAGCGACGACAACAGUUGUUGUUUUAUUAAAAGCAACGACGACGACGAUGCUAGCGGCUAAAGUUCAGAUCCAAGAAUCAGUCUGCUUACAUGGUGAUGUUGGAAAAAAAACCCAGCGGUCGCUUCUCCAUCUCCGAUUACCCCUUCAGCCGACCACCGUCAUCGCCGGACACUAACCUUUCCGACCACCAACUACACACCACCGGCCGAGACUCAUUAACGACACCACCGACCACUGUCGAACUCCGAUUAACCAGCAAAGUGCUAUAAUUUAUCUAUUACUCAGUCAAGUGAAUCCAGAGAAAGUGCAGUAGAUACAUCAACAUGGUUCAAAUUAUGAUGAAAUUGGAUAGUGAAGGUAUAUUGUGCGGAAAUUGGUUUGGAAUUGAGACAGAUUGCAAAACAGGGAGUUAGGUGCGAUUAGGGUGAUUCGCUCAGUAGUUUAAGUUAAGAAGUAGUGAUUUGGGUAAAAUUA